rnacentral:rRNA from 1 species
UACGUAGGGGCAGCAGUGUCGGUUCGAUUUGUGCGUAAAGAGCGUGUAGGCGGCCUGGAAGGUCAGCUGUGAAAACUCGAGGCUCAACCUCGAGACGUCGGUUGAAACCACCUGGCUAGAGUCCGGAAGAGGAGAGUGGAAUUCCCGGUGUAGCGGUGAAAUGCGCAGAUAUCGGGAAGAACACCCGUGGCGAAGGCGGCUCUCUGGGACGGUACUGACGCUGAGACGCGAAAGCGUGGGGAGCGAACAGG